rnacentral:misc_RNA from 1 species
GAUGAAGAACGCAGCGAAAUGCGAUAAGUAAUGUGAAUUGCAGAAUUCAGUGAAUCAUCGAAUCUUUGAACGCACCUUGCGCUCCUUGGUAUUCUGAGGAGCAUGCCUGUUUGAGUGUCAUGAAAUUCUCAACCUUUUCAGCUUUCUUUGUUGAUCAGGCUUGGAUGUGGGAGUAUGCGGGCUUCUCAGAAGUCGGCUCUCCUGAAAUGCAUUAGCGGGACCUUUGUUGCCUGGCUUUGGUGUGAUAAUUAUCUACGCCAUUGUAGUCAAGCAGCUUAAAAUGAGGUUUCAGCUUCUAACCGUCUCCCCUGAGACAACUUUUUGACAAUUUGACCUCAAAUCAGGUAGGACUACCCGCUGAACUUAAGCAUAUCAAUAAGCGGAGGA